rnacentral:rRNA from 1 species
UACAGAGGGUGCAAGCGUUGUUCGGAAUUACUGGGCGUAAAGCGCGUGUAGGCUGUCUCGCAAGUCGGGUGUGAAAGCCCUGGGCUCAACCUAGGAAGUGCACUCGAAACUGCGAGACUUGAGUCCUGGAGAGGAAGGCGGAAUUCUCGGUGUAGAGGUGAAAUUCGUAGAUAUCGAGAGGAACACCGAUGGCGAAGGCAGCCUUCUGGACAGUGACUGACGCUGAGACGCGAAAGCGUGGGGAGCAAACAGG